rnacentral:rRNA from 1 species
AGCGAACGCUGGCGGCAGGCUUAACACAUGCAAGUCGAGCGGGCAUCUUCGGAUGUCAGCGGCAGACGGGUGAGUAACACGUGGGAACGUACCCUUCGGUUCGGAACAACUCUGGGAAACUGGAGCUAAUACCGGAUACGCCCUUAUGGGGAAAGGUUUACUGCCGAAGGAUCGGCCCGCGUCUGAUUAGCUAGUUGGUGGGGUAACGGCCUACCAAGGCGACGAUCAGUAGCUGGUCUGAGAGGAUGAUCAGCCACACUGGGACUGAGACACGGCCCAGACUCCUACGGGAGGCAGCAGUGGGGAAUAUUGGAUAAUGGGCGCAAGCCUGAUCCAGCCAUGCCGCGUGAGUGAUGAAGGCCUUAGGGUUGUAAAGCUCUUUUGUCCGGGACGAUAAUGACGGUACCGGAAGAAUAAGCCCCGGCUAACUUCGUG